AGUGAGGUUAUCUAGAUGGUUAGGUCUGUAGUGAGGUCUGUAGUGAGGUUAUCUAGAUGGUUAGGUCUGUAGUGAGGUUAUCUAGAUGGUUAGGUCUGUAGUGAGGUCUGUAGUGAGGUUAUCUAGAUGGUUAGGUCUGUAGUGAGGUUAUCUAGACUGUUAGGUCUGUAGUGAGGUUAUCUAGAUGGUUAGGUCUGUUGUGAGGUUAUCUAGAUGGUUAGGUCUGUAGUGAGGUUAUCUAGAU